GAUGAACGCUAGCGACAGGCCUAACACAUGCAAGUCGAACGGCAGCGCGGGGGCAACCCUGGCGGCGAGUGGCGAACGGGUGAGUAAUGUAUCGGAACGUAUCCUGUAAUGGGGGAUAACCAGUCGAAAGAUUGGGUAAUACCGCAUACGCACGAGAGUGGAAAGUAGGGGAUCGCAAGACCUUACGUUAUAGGAGCGGCCGAUAUCUGAUUAGCUAGUUGGUGGGGUAAAGGCCUACCAAGGCGACGAUCCGUAGCUGGUCUGAGAGGAUGAUCAGCCACACUGGAACUGAGACACGGUCCAGACUCCUACGGGAGGCAGCAGUAGGAAAUAUUGGACAAUGGGCGCAAAGCCUGAUCCAGCCAUGCCGCGUGAGUGAAGAAGGCCCUCGGGUUGUAAAGCUCUUUUGUCCGGAAAGAAAAGCGCCGGGUUAAUACCCUGGUGUCCUGACGGUACCGGAAGAAUAAGCACCGGCUAACUACGUGCCAGCAGCCGCGGUAAUGAGUAGUA
rnacentral:rRNA from 1 species